UCCNCAGGACAGGCCUAAGCUGCCUAAGGA
rnacentral:piRNA from 1 species